GAUGAACGCUAGCUACAGGCUUAACACAUGCAAGUCGAGGGGCAUCAGGAAGAAAGCUUGCUUUCUUUGCUGGCGACCGGCGCACGGGUGAGUAACACGUAUCCAACCUGCCCUUUACUCGGGGAUAGCCUUUCGAAAGAAAGAUUAAUACCCGAUGGCAUAAUGAUUCCGCAUGGUUUCAUUAUUAAAGGAUUCCGGUAAAGGAUGGGGAUGCGUUCCAUUAGGUUGUUGGUGAGGUAACGGCUCACCAAGCCUUCGAUGGAUAGGGGUUCUGAGAGGAAGGUCCCCCACAUUGGAACUGAGACACGGUCCAAACUCCUACGGGAGGCAGCAGUGAGGAAUAUUGGUCAAUGGGCGCUAGCCUGAACCAGCCAAGUAGCGUGAAGGAUGAAGGCUCUAUGGGUCGUAAACUUCUUUUAUAUAAGAAUAAAGUGCAGUAUGUAUACUGUUUUGUAUGUAUUAUAUGAAUAAGGAUCGGCUAACUCCGUGCCAGCAGCCGCGGUAAUACGGAGGAUCCGAGCGUUAUCCGGAUUUAUUGGGUUUAAAGGGAGCGUAGGUGGACUGGUAAGUCAGUUGUGAAAGUUUGCGGCUCAACCGUAAAAUUGCAGUUGAUACUGUCAGUCUUGAGUACAGUAGAGGUGGGCGGAAUUCGUGGUGUAGCGGUGAAAUGCUUAGAUAUCACGAAGAACUCCGAUUGCGAAGACAGCUCACUGGACUGCAACUGACACUGAUGCUCGAAAGUGUGGGUAUCAAACAGGAUUAGAUACCCUGGUAGUCCACACAGUAAACGAUGAAUACUCGCUGUUUGCGAUAUACAGUAAGCGGCCAAGCGAAAGCAUUAAGUAUUCCACCUGGGGAGUACGCCGGCAACGGUGAAACUCAAAGGAAUUGACGGGGGCCCGCACAAGCGGAGGAACAUGUGGUUUAAUUCGAUGAUACGCGAGGAACCUUACCCGGGCUUAAAUUGCAGUGGAAUGAUGUGGAAACAUGUCAGUGAGCAAUCACCGCUGUGAAGGUGCUGCAUGGUUGUCGUCAGCUCGUGCCGUGAGGUGUCGGCUUAAGUGCCAUAACGAGCGCAACCCUUAUCUUUAGUUACUAACAGGUCAUGCUGAGGACUCUAGAGAGACUGCCGUCGUAAGAUGUGAGGAAGGUGGGGAUGACGUCAAAUCAGCACGGCCCUUACGUCCGGGGCUACACACGUGUUACAAUGGGGGGUACAGAAGGCAGCUAGCGGGUGACCGUAUGCUAAUCCCAAAAGCCUCUCUCAGUUCGGAUCGAAGUCUGCAACCCGACUUCGUGAAGCUGGAUUCGCUAGUAAUCGCGCAUCAGCCACGGCGCGGUGAAUACGUUCCCGGGCCUUGUACACACCGCCCGUCAAGCCAUGGGAGCCGGGGGUACCUGAAGUACGUAACCGCAAGGAUCGUCCUAGGGUAAAACUGGUGACUGGGGCUAAG
rnacentral:rRNA from 1 species